rnacentral:lncRNA from 1 species
UUUCAAUCUAAAACUUUAUCAUGUUAUUAUAUUAUGCUCUUAUCCAUGCUUUUCAUCUUUUCAAAAUUGAAACGAGAUAGCAUGUUGUUGCUAUUGCGACGGCAAUGUGUCCUAGUCUACCCAACAUGUCCAAAAUCAUCCAAAAGGAAUUAGUUUUUUUUUGGACCAUGUACAUGUCCAUAAUCCAAUCUGACUGCAACUUUUUUAUCAUGACGUUGAUGCUUUCAGGAUUCAGAAAGUCAUAAAUCGACUCUACACCUAGAUUAAAAAGCUUCCUCUAUUACCCAUGAAAGGUAAAUUAAUCAAUCAAGUAAUACUUUUAAAAUACCUAAGCAGGUUUGACACAUCCUAAAAAUGCCGAUUUCACUGUUUUAUGAUCAACAAGUUUCUUAUGGGAAUGUACAUAUUUUGGCUUUAACAUUCAAGUUCACAUAAACAUGCAACCUGUGCCUAAUCUUGGAAUGCACCACAAAUCUCUUACAUAUCAUCGUGAACUUAAAAUUAAAUCAUAUAGGAGCAGGUAUGAGUAAAGCUACAGUAUACAUGGCAUUAAAUCACUAGUAGCAAUACCUCUUUUCUCCUAUCACAUUUCCUUUUCACUUCAUGGAAUGUAUAUGUAGAAGAAUAUAGAAACAAACUUAUUACCUUGCUUUGGAAACUUACACAAAGAAAAGGGACAAAAGGAAACCUACAGAUGAGCUAUCGAAGAAGUAAACACUACAUUACAUUUAAUCAAUAGAUAAUUGAAUGUGCCAAUAUGUAACAUAUAUGAAGCCGGCAUAUGAACAACAAAUUCGGAUUCAAGGGGUUAUAGUGAUCAUAUUGUUAUCCAAAUUUCUUUGCUGAUAUGAGAUAUAACCAAGGAUUUCACAUUAUGAACCCAAGCUUCUACUUAUCGAUCAAGGAACGGUACAUGACAAACAUCACUUGAUUCAUAGAUGGAGGUGGCUAAAGAAGUCGAAUCACGAACACCAUCAUCUUCCUAUUUGAGAGCAUAGGUUUCACAAGUGGCACCCUUGUAAACUGUUAUACAAACUCAUAAGUACUACUCACUCCAAAAAGAUUUGAAAAUAUAUCUGGCGUAGAAAUUAGUGGAUGCACAGCCA